rnacentral:rRNA from 1 species
AACUGAGUUCGCUCUAUAACCCUUUGUGACAUACCUAUAACUGUUGCUUCUGCGGGUAGGGUCUCCGCGACCCUCCCGGCCUCCCGCCUCCGGGCGGGUCGGCGCCCGCCGGAGGAUAACCAAACUCUGAUUUAACGACGUUUCUUCUGAGUGGUACAAGCAAAUAAUCAAAACUUUUAACAACGGAUCUCUUGGUUCUGGCAUCAAUGAAGAACGCAGCGAAAUGCGAUAAGUAAUGUGAAUUGCAGAAUUCAGUGAAUCAUCGAAUCUUUGAACGCACAUUGCGCCCGCCAGCAUUCUGGCGGGCAUGCCUGUUCGAGCGUCAUUUCAACCCUCAAGCUCUGCUUGGUGUUGGGGCCCUACAGCUGAUGUAGGCCCUCAAAGGUAGUGGCGGACCCUCCCGGAGCCUCCUUUGCGUAGUAACUUUACGUCUCGCACUGGGAUCCGGAGGGACUCUUGCCGUAAAACCCCCCAAUUUUCCAAAGGUUGACCUCGGAUCAGGUAGGAAUACCCGCUGAACUUAAGCAACAAUG